rnacentral:ncRNA from 1 species
CAAAGAUAAAGGCAAAACCUUUGAAAAAAGGUGACGCAAAGCCAUGGGUCUAACGUCCUUACGGACCAUGAUCGCCAGGCCGCCAAG